AGAGUUUGAUCCUGGCUCAGAAUGAACGCUAGAGUUCUGCUUGACACAUGCGAGUCGAACGGUGAUAAAUUUAAUUUAUCAAAAGUGGCGCACGGGUGAAUAAUGCAUUUGUAACUUACCCAAUAAUUCGGAAUAUGCUGUGGAAACACGUGAGAAAUACCGAAUAAUAUAAACUUUUAUUAGUUUAUAAAAAGAUAAGUCGUUAUUGGAUAGGCAAGUGUUGCAUCAAGUUGUUGGUGAGGUAAUGGCUCACCAAGCUAAUGACGCAUAGCUGGUUUGGGAGAACGGCCAGCCACAUCGGAACUGAAACAAGGUCCGAGCUCCUACGGGGGGCAGCAGUGAGGAAUCUUGGGCAAUGAGCGAAAGCUUGACCCAGCGAGAAUUUGUGUGUGAGGAAGGCGUUGAGUUGUAAAGCACUUUCAGGCAGGAAGAUAAUGACUGUACUGCAGCAGAAGAAGUACUGGCUAAGUCUGUGCCAGCAGCCGCGGUAAUACAGACAGUGCGAGCGUUAUUCAGAUUUAAUGGGCGUAAAGGGUAUGUAGACGGUUCUAAAAACUAGAUAAAAAAUGCUAGAUUUAUAACUUUAGCAGAAUAUCUAAAGAUUAAAGAACUUUGAGUUAAUUAGAGGUUAGACGAAUUUGUUGUGUUAACAGUAAAAUGUUAUUAUAUAAUAAGGACGACCAAAGGUGAAGACAUCUUUCUGCGAUUAACUGACGUUGAGGUACGAAGGCAUGGGGAGCAAACAGGAUUAGAUACCCUAGUAGUCC
rnacentral:rRNA from 1 species